rnacentral:rRNA from 1 species
UACGUAGGUGGCGAGCGUUAUCCGGAAUUACUGGGUGUAAAGGGAGAGUAGGCGGCAAGGUAAGCGAUAUGUGAAAGCCUUAGGCUUAACCUGAGGAUUGCAUAACGAACUAUCUAGCUAGAGUACAGGAGAGGAAAGCGGAAUUCCUAGUGUAGCGGUGAAAUGCGUAGAUAUUAGGAAGAACACCAGUGGCGAAGGCGGCUUUCUGGACUGAAACUGACGCUGAGGCUCGAAAGCGUGGGGAGCGAACAGG